rnacentral:rRNA from 1 species
UACGUAGGGGGCAAGCGUUGUCCGGAUUUAUUGGGCGUAAAGAGCGUGUAGGCGGUUUGGUAGGUCCGUUGUGAAAACUCGAGGCUCAACCUCGAGACGCCGAUGGAAACCAUCAGACUAGAGUCCGGAAGAGGAGAGUGGAAUUCCUGGUGUAGCGGUGAAAUGCGCAGAUAUCAGGAAGAACACCCGUGGCUAAGGCGGCUCACUGGGACGUUACUGACGCUGAGACGCGAAAGCGUGGGGAGCAAACAGG